rnacentral:rRNA from 1 species
GAUAAACGCUGGCGGCGUGCAUAACACAUGCAAGUCGAACGAUGAAGAUUAAAAGAUUUCUUCGGAAUGAACUUAAUUGGAUUAGUGGCGGACGGGUGAGUAACGCGUGAGUAACCUGCCUUGUACAAGGGGAUAGCCGUUGGAAACGACGAAUAAUACCCUAUGACAUCAAAUAAUCGCAUGAUAAUUUGAUCAACGAUUUAUCGGUAUAAGAUGGACUCGCGUCUGAUUAGCUGUUGGUAGAGUAAAAGCCUACCAAGGCAACGAUCAGUGGCCGGCUUGAGAGAGUGUACGGCCACAUUGGGACUGAGACACGGCCCAGACUCCUACGGGAGGCAGCAGUGGGGAAUUUUGCACAAUGGGGGAAACCCUGAUGCAGCGACGCCGCGUGAUUUAGAAGGCCUUCGGGUUGUAAAAAUCUUUUGUAUGGGAAGAAAAUGACAGUACCAUACGAAUAAGGACCGGCUAAUUACGUG